UUCCCCCGUGCGCAGAGGCUCCCUGGCAGCCGCUCUCCUCAACUCCCUCAACGCCAGCCUCCUCUGCCCCAUGUCCAGCGACCCCUCUCCUCCAUGGCUGAGCACCCAUGGGCCAGGCGCCCCUUCCCCAUCAGAUCCAUGGCGCGAUGUCCCUCUCCCCCAUCCAUGGUGUCUCCUCCCCUUCUCUCCAUGGCCGGCGCCCCAAGCUCCAGCCACUCCUUCUCCCUAGCGCACCUCGCCAGCAGAAAAUCUCCAAGUGCACGCGCCCAGGACAAGCCGCAAGCUCUCUGCUGCCAUCUCUGUUCCCUAGCGCGCCCAGGCGAGCAGUGCGCCGUCGACCUGCUCCACUCCGACCAUGGACGCCUAGGCCCGACCGGCGUCUCCCCCUGCUAUCUCCUCCCCAUGGCGCGACACAUUAGCUCCAUGGCCGUCCAUGGCUCCUCCGCAUUGCGCCCACACCCUGCUGCAUCUUCUCCUCGGCCUCCUGUCUGCAACAGGUGGCGCUUGGUCUUGCUUGGCGCCCAUCAAGGAGGCUGCAGAUCUCAGCUCCAUGGAUGUUUCCCCAAUCGCAGCAGGUGUCCAGAUUUUCCCCAUGGCGCCUAGUCCCUUGAGCUCGCCUUCAACCUCCGCAGCACCUCCUCGGCAUCAGCCACCGUGCACCCCUGCUGCCCCCCCUUGACUGCGCGUGAGUGCUCUCCCACGUCGAGCCCCCUCCAUCUGGUUUCAAGCUGCAGCAGCAGUCUCGGCAUCGUCGCACAGCGAGCUCCACCGUCGAUCUGCGCAGCCCCUAUUCGGUUGUCGUUCUGCCUCCGUCGACCUCCUCCAUGCACGUGCAACAGCAGCCGCUGCCCCUUCGCGUCGGGUGUGCCGACACGGAUCUACGCAAUCCCGACACGAUGUUGUCAAACUCCGCCCCUUGUCGUCGUCACGCCUCGCGCAUCGCUCGUCGGCAAAGAGCCCAAACUGAUGACAUGCAUGCGCAACUCCAAUCGGAUUUCGGCCAGGUUGUUCGCCUUGAGUGAUUCGCGUUUUGUUUUAUUUACGAUUCAGUCAAUGACGUGAAUAUGUGCGUGAAAAUAUAAUUGUAUGAAUGAACGCGUGUAGAGAAGAAAUUGAAGUAGAAAAGAACUCGGGUAUUUUUAUAUUUUGAUAAAAAAAUAUGCGAUGCGUUGUUUGAAGAAAAACUAAAUUACAAAAUGCGGAUUAUAUUUUGGG